CUCCUACAGCUUCCGUUUGCUGUUCCCAGGAACGUGGAGUUAUUUGCAUGAGAAAGCCAGUGACUGCAGGGCUUGCGCUUUGAAUAGUUACUGAAUACUUGUUAAGACAGAACGAUAUGCUAUGGGGUCUGUUUUGAAACCUGGUACCAGCUGUACCAUUCGCAAGCACCUGUAUCCUGGCCUGGCUGCGGUGAUGCAGCCUGAAGUCCUGUGCUUGUAAAAAGGUCUUCAAACUGGGGAAAACAAGCCCGCUGGGGGAACAAAAGUGCCUGCAUCUGUCUCUUGGGGUGGCGUUCUCUUCCCUCGCUUCCUCGACUGAACGUGGAGGAGUUGCCUCCAGACUCUUGAGCACAAGCGGCAGGAAUGCCCAGGGAUGUGAAAGGGUUGAGAAUAAUCUCGCAUUGCACCUAUGUGCUCUUCUGCACGGGGAUAGGGGUGAGGUGGGGAGGAAGGUGUUGUGUCUUUAUUCCCCCAUCCCCCAAGACAGAGGUGGAGAGGAGGGAGGGAGUCACACCUCUCGAGGAUUGUUGAGAAGGUGGGAGGUCUGGCUCCCUCUGUUGCCUGAGGUAGGAUUUGCUGAGACCCAAGGUCGGAAAAUCAGAACUUCUCUAAGUGUGUUGGAAGCAGAGGUAUUAUUGUCAAAAUUUGGGGGAGCCUUUUGUCUACAGGGCACCGCCUCCGCAGUCAGGUUUGGGUGCUCUAGCUCUAGGGUUGAUUUGGAACUUUUCCAUAAGCUUAGGGGCUCGCAUUCAGCUUUCAUCUCCACAUGAAAAAGUAUGAGAAAGACCCCAGAUACUUUUCUUUCCGGGCCCUUGCUGGAUUGAGAGCUUUUUUUUUUUUAGGAUAAAAUAUUGUUUUCAUCUUUUGUACACAUUCAUACAUAAGAUGCAGCUGAGGAGUAGAGGAAGCAGGGCUUUACCCCCAGCUGUCACAUGGGUCCCCAUCUGCCACCAGAGCGCUCAUAGCGCGCACUUCUUUUCUCUCCCCCUCUCACCUCCCCCCUUUCCUCUGCUUUCCUGUUCACAACUCCUGGAGCACCACAAAGGGGCUUAGGGAUUCUGGGUCCUUCAGGCCAACCAGAGUCCCCCCACCCCUGCCUGCUUGGAAAGGCUCCAUUUUCCCACAGUAUUUCACAUCCAUAUUACUUUUCACACCCUGUCAGGCAAUAAUGACACGGAACCUGCUAAGUACUUCCAUGCACCCAGCCAGGCCUCCCACAGCACUCCAGAUCCCGAGGGGCGGUCUUGCAGUCUUGAAGACCGUUGCUUUCUUCUCCCCUCCUCAGACUGACCACCCUGCCCCAGCUUAAUAAAGGGCUGGGCACACAGGUCUAGUGAAAGUCUUUUUAAAGGGGUAGGAAUGCCCAGCCAUAGGAAGAAAGGGUUUGGGGGACAGGUGUGGCUUCCCUUAAUAGCUGACAUUAGAUUGAUGACUUAAAAAAAAAAAAGGAACAGUGCUGGCUUUGGCAUGAGCAAAGCCCUGGAUUCUCCCUCCAAUAGUCAUAAAUACAUAAAUAGAUAAACAAAGAGGGCCACGCUGCAGUCCUUAUUGGGGGGGUGGAACCUAAACCUCCUUAUUAAUAUUUUGUGGCCAUCCUUUCCCUUCAUAGGCACCAAGCACAGUGGACACUAAGGGACUCUAAGGGGGCAGAAUGCAGUGUCCUCCACCCCUUUUCCUGGUCCCUAUCUGCUAUAGCCAUGGAGGCUGGAGAAAGAGUGAGGCCACUCUAGAAACUCGGGGAUGGGUGAAGAAUGAAGGUAUUUAGAUCAUCUAUAGCAUCCGAGAGACCACCUAUGGUGCCUAUAGACCUGGGAUGGAACAUUAUACACCUCUGUACUAGUCCUCGUCUUCUCAGGAAACUACUCAGUCUGCCACCUUAAUAGGUCUGCUGGCCUUUGGGUGUCAGUGGAAGGGCUUCAGGGAAGUUAAUGCUCCUCUACAACUCCUCCACAACCCCACCUCAGUUCUUCCAUUUGGAAGAGUAAUAAAACCUGCCCACCCCGACCUUCAGAACAUAGAGGGAAGGAACUAACUUUUAAUGAGUGCCUAUUAAGUGCCAAACAUUUUACAGGCUCAUGUUGUUUAAUCUUCACAAGCUACAGGGAGGACAUUUCUAAAUGCUUUAUGCCCAAAAGGACAUGGUGGCAGUAUAAAGAGAACAGGCCUAACUAGAGUAUGUGCACCCAAAUAAACUCCCAGAUUCCUAGGACAGGAUGGCUUUCAGAGUAUUGUAGGCUGGGCUAGAUCUCCUGGUCACAUGGAGGACUUGAAAUACCUUCCAUGAGCAUCUUCCGCACACUCCUAGAGAGAUGGAAAUCCUGUCCUAAGCACUUGAAGAUUUUUGUGACACAUUUUAAAUUCUAGUUCCCACAUGCUGACCCUAAAGCUAAUGGCAGAGUCAUUUACUCAUAUCUCUCAUCAUGAGAGGAACCCAGAGUCUUAUGGCUCCCCAAAGAGUUACUUUGUAUCUCCUCACCAUUUCAUUGGAGUUGAUAGAAACAACUUGGACUUGAAUUUCUGCUCCUGACUUUUAAACUGAGUCCAAAGCUCCCUCUUCAGCCUGGAAGCUCAAAACUGGAGAAACCCAUAAGGCAAUUAACUUGGCUCUGAUAUACAAACCUCAAUAUUUUUUUCUCUUUUCAGGGCCAGAAGGGGUUAUCUACUCCAAACUAGGGGAGAGCAGAGUGUGAGGUGCUCUUCCCAGUGUGUGUGUGUGUGUGUGUGUGUGUGUGUGUGUGUGUGUGUGUGUGUGUGUGUCUGCAGUUUUACUUGCCAGCCUUAUGCAGUAGUUGCUUCAACACUGGCAGACAUCUUUCUUAUCUAGAGAGGGGAUCUGUGCAGAUAGUGCUUUAGGGCCUUGGUUUAAUGAGUCUGUGGAGAAUAGGGAGACAGACACAGAACUUUGAAAGCUAGAAAGGAAAGCAAGUGUAAGCCUUCAGGGAGAGGUGGUAUGACCUGAAAUUUCUUGAAGGAAACUAUUCCCUCUUUUUUUUUUCCAUCCCUGUAAAGAUAUGGUCCCUGUACAUAUCUGCACUCUCUAGCUAUCAGCCAUCACCUUUGGGGUUUCUGGAAUAACUAUGUCGGUUAUGUGGAUGAGGAUGCCUGGUGUGCGUGUGUGUGCGUGUGUGUGCGUGUGUGUGUGUGUGUGUGUGUGUGUGUGUGUGUGUGUGUGUGUGUUGAAGCAUGCAUGCACCACAAUGGCCAGCCCCACUCCUGUUCUUCAUAUUCCUGAUGCAGCUGUUGAGGAAGAACCCCCAAAAAGGAGAAGGCAAAGUUGGAGAGCAGACAAGGGACUGAGGAGAGGGGAGAGGAACCUUAUUCUCAUAGUCUGUUAGGUCAGACAUGAACAGUCCCUGAAGCUAUAGCCAUCUGAUUUAAGCCACCUCUUUCCUUUUGUGUAUAAAUGGUGUGUGUGCGUGUGCACGUGUGUGUGCAUGUGCGUGCGUGUGUGUUUUUGUGUGUGUGUGUGUGUGUGUGUGUGUCCAGCUCACGCUCGCAGCUCGCAUGCACGCACUUCCUAAAUUUUCAACUAAACCUCUUAGGCCCUAGUUAUUCCCGUAGCAGUGAGCCAAACCUGGAGAGGGCUGAGUGCUUAUUUAAUGGUACUUUUUAAUCACACGAGAGUAUAUUAAUUCAUUUUAUAGUUUCGAUGGUGGGAAGAGAGAAUAUGGUGACUUAUUUUCCGCAACUCACAAAUACCGAUUCUCUAGCUCAGCAGUGACGUUAAGGAUGACUGGCAGGCAGGUGGGAAAUGAAGAUCAGGAAGGUUCUCAUCUGUGAUGGGUUCUGCUGCUUCCUGGCAGUGGUGACGGCAUAGGCCGAAGAUUCAAAGCCCUGAAACUGGAAGAUGCUAAUUUAAAUUAAACUCUAUCUUCCCUUCUCUCAAAUUGCCUUCCCACGGGCACUCCAACUCUCUGGAAACAAAAAACCAAGACCACCAAAAGGGAAAUUUAAAGGAGCGCAAGAAACCAUGAAGAGAAAACUGCCCAACGUAUUUGAAAGCGUGCAGAGUUUUGCCCGGAGUUCCCGUAGCAUACUCUCACUUUUCUCCAGAAGCUUCGUAGAAGCCAAUUUCUUUACUUAUAUUCUGGAAUUUUUUUUUUUAUUUUAGGUUAGGUUAGGUUAGGUUAGGUUAGGUUAGGUUAGGUUAGGUUAGGUUAGGUUAGGUUAGGUUAGUUUUCCUGGGAACUGCACAUUUGCAGACUCCCGCGGGCUCUCUAUCGUUGGCAGUAGAAAGCCUGCAGUCCAGUCUAGGCACUCCCCUCGGGGUACGCAGGAGCAGACAGAGCCACUGCCCUCCCAACAGAGCCUCUGGGCUGCUGGCUACUGGGAUGAUCUGAGCCAGAAUGAUCUUAUUGAAUGUAUUAAUGACCAGAGAGAUUUCUUAAGCCAAGUCCCCGAAGAAAGGAUCCAAAACGAGUAAAACAGUUGCAGAUCCUGACUCUGGCAAGGUUGUGAGUCGGGAAUCACAGCUCCCUCUCAGCCUCCUCCGGGUGUAGGAGAGUUGAUGCUCACUGGUGGGCUCUGCUCUCUGGGGUUUGCAGUCUGCGCUGUGGAAGGUAAUUACUUGAACUAUUAGUCUACGCUGCAACACACUGUUGAAGAUACUUCUGGUAUGCUUCAGAAAACAUAUUACUGCGUGUUUUUUUUUUCUUCCGCAGCAGAUUUAGCGUAAAUCUCUACUAAUAAUGGUACUGUCCGAAAAGCCGUCGGGAGUGUGGACAGAUUCGCCAUUCUUGUAAAACUGGUUACUUCUCUAAAAGUCACUCAUCCGACUGGGCGGCUGUGGAUGGAUGUGGUUGGGGUUGGGUCUUGGCUUCGGACGGAUUCGUGGCUUCUUUGUCUAUUUUUACAAAACAGCAGCAUUAAAUUGCUGCCUCUUGACUGCCUAUUCUCACGGCUGUUCAGUUUCUUCGAGUCUUCAGAUAAAAUCUUGAAUCCUGUAUUAGGGUGUGGCAUGCAAGACCCACAGUUCCCCCUGACUCCACUCCCUUGCCCCCAGACCCUUGACUAUGAAUUAUAGUCCUCCCCUGGGACCUCACUAGCGCAUUCUCAAAUAUGCUUGCAAAUGCAUUUCCCAAUCUUACUGGGUAAGGUUUGAUCUUCAAGGAAGUCCUCAUCCUGGUCCCCCACCAAAGGGUGUUUCAUGGGGGUUGGAUGCACAGAUCUCUCUUCUCUGCCUGUUUUCCCGGACAGUUUCAAAUCCAUGACUAGAGAUCGGAGAGACCUGGAGCUGAGCUGGCCACAGGAAUCAAGUAGGGACACACGUUACCCUCGAGAGAUUCCAAAGCUGCACCCAGAAAUGCAGGCUAAGUGGCAACCCCUAGAAUUGAGGCUCAGUCCUCAGUCCUGGAAUAGUUUAAUUCCACAGGUACUGUGCCCUUUAGAUGUGCGCUGCUUCAUAAGGCGUCCCGCUUUGAACACCAGGCCUCCUUUUCAUUUUUUUUUCUCUUGGUAAGGAAAGUAAACAUCUUGUUUAUAUUUCCAUAGUGGUCAGACCCUAAUUAUGCAUGAUUCCAGCAACAUGACUGCUGCAGCCAGAAGGCGCCGGUCUAGGAAGCCGCCUGGAACUUUACAUAGAUUUUUUUUUCCUGUUUUAAACUUUAGAUGGUUUGUGGAGGGUCAGGAACCACAGGCUGAAGGUUAGAUAGAAAAUGAACGGCCAGGAUUCCCUAUUUUGGGGACGGGGUGGGGGGGUUGGUGAUAUUUGCCUGAGAAGACAACCACCAGGAGGUUUGCAACUGCCCCUGCCGAUGAACAGUCAUAGCCUCAAGGACCUAGGUCCACAUCUGGUCAGUACCCACCAUUCAGCCAGGACUGGGUAAAAUCUAAACAUGUAAGUCUCAAAGAGAGUGAGGAAAGGAAGCGGACAACAGAACAUGGAAAACAUCUUUUUGGUCAUGUGAACUUUAUUGCAGAUCAGGAUGUUAUCUAACAGCUGCCCAAACUUCUGACUCCAUGCUCCAAAUUCCCAUACCUCCCCACCCGGUGUGCUGUCUGCCAACUUGGGGAUCCUCUUCCCAGCUUCUACCAGCAUCUGGCUGGUUGCAUUUGGAGAUGAUUUACCUUCCUUCAGUUCACCAGACAAUGGCUCCCGUGCUCACCUGGGCUGAUAGUUUCCUCAUCCAUUCUCCUCCUGCAUAGGAAGCUGGGUCGAAGAGGGGUCAGAAAGAGAAAGGCAAGCUGGGAGUCUAGGCCUCUGGUGCGUGCAUUCUCUAUGUGCCUUUGAUUUGGUCCAGAAAAAAGCAUCACAGGAAAAAUAAUGUUAGUGGGUGCCUGGGCCAGUCUCAAGCACUAGGAAACUGACUUUGUUCCCCUAAAGGCCUGACAAAGAUCUGAGCACAGGAUAGGCUACAAAGAUGAUCCUUAUUGGCCUUGGCCCAUGGGAGUUCUGAGGAAGAAGGGGCAACUUGUUAUUGUUGAGGAAACAAAAGCAGAGGCCCACGAGGACCCACCAAUGUUUGUAUAGUUCAUUUCCUAGUCUCAUAUGAGAACGGAGAGCAUCUCAGGAGGACCCUCUCCUACCUUCCACGCAAUGCCUCCCCAAACCCCAGUUUCCCCUAAGCAACUCACACCUAAUAUGGAAGGAGUUAGCUCUAGCUGACUGGUUUAACUGGUAGGACAUUACUUUGACCCUUAUGUGCAUUUCUGGACCCCAAAAGGUCAGGGGGAGCAGGGCCAAUGGGCCGAAGUACAAGCAUAAUCCAGAUAUCUAGGAACAUCUGCAGAGACCCGUGUGUAGAAAACCCAUUCAUCUUCGGUCCACUGAAUUUACUCUGUGGCAGGACAGUCUAAGAUAAGCCCCCAAUGAGGACAGUAGCUGCUACAAGAAGUCUGAGGCAGUCUCCUGGCUGCGCAGCUCCCUGAGUUGUGGAGCUUCUGAAUUAAAGGAUGUUCUGGUGUUGCCCACCUGGACAGUGUUGUGCCACCAAGCCCUUUAGAAGCAAAGUCUUUUACUUUGGUAAUCCAACCACACUUUUUCUAAGCGGGAAGAUGCACACAGCCCGGAAGUGCUUGCUGAGACCCGGAAGCACCUGGAGCUGGCCAGUCUCCUCUGUAGGAGGGAGACAUUGGCCACCUCAGCCGUAAAGCCUCAGGUCACCUGGGACCAGUGUUCUGUGUUUGUGAUCCUCAUCUCCUCUUGUCCCACCCACCUCUGGAAUCCAUACCGGCUGAUUGAGAGAAGGGAAACCUCAGGUCCCUGGUGCAACCCUCCAUGCCGUGUCCAUCACACUCAACUGAUAUUCACCUUGUUGCAGCAGGAAAUGAACCUCAACACAGUAGGAAUCAUCACUCAAUCACAUCAGGGUGAGUUACUCCAAAUGUAUACAAUAAAAGAUAAAUAUUUAUUUGAUUGACACAGUUUGCACAGAUAGAAAAACAAGCUGGAUUUAAAAAAUAGGUGAAACAAUUAAGUGGUUUUGCCAAUCUGCAAAUUGGCACAACUGGGGGCAAGACUCUAAGUCUAUUUCACUUUUACCCAAAAGGAUAUCAACACCAAAGGAAACAUUGGUUGUAACAAAUGAUUUGUGACUAGCAGAAUUGUUUUCACAGUUAAAUUGUUUAUUAUAAAAUUACAUUUAUUGGGGCUGCGAUGUACCUCUGUUGGUAGAGUUCUCACUUAGCAUGCGUGAAGUCCUAGAUUUGAUCCCCACCACACAUGUGCUCUCUCUCUCUCUCUCUCUCUCUCUCUCUCUCUCUCUCUCUCACACACACACACACACACACACACACACUCACACAUACACACUCACACAUACACUCUCACUCAUACACACACUCAAGCACACACACACUCACACACACACACACUCACACAUAUACACUCACUCAUACACACACUCAAGCACACACACACUCACUCACUCAUUCACUCACAGAGUCAUAUACUGAUGAGAAACCAAUCUCUGUUCAUGGAAGAGCUUUCAUGGAAGGGGCUGCAGUUUCUACUUUAUUGUUGUUCUGUGCUGUUUGUUGAGGCAGGAUCUCAGACUUGUGAUUCUCCUGCAUCAGCUUUCCAAGUGCUGGGACUAAAGGCAUGCACCACCACACCAAGUGGAUCUCAGCUACUGCAACAGUGCCACAUCUGCCUUCCUGCUGUUAUUCCCUGCCAUGAUGACCAUGGACUAACCCUCUGAAGCUGUGAGCAAACCUUCCUUUCGUGAGUUGCCAUGGUGAUGGUGUCUCCUCACAGCAGUAGAAGAGUAACUAAGAUACCUAGGUUUUACUUCUCAUUUUUAAAAGUAUUACUAUCUUUUGGGGUGGGGGUUGAUCUCACUCAAAUAGGUGGGAGAAACUAAUAAAUUUUUGAAAUAUCUGAUUUUCAGACAUUAUUCACUCAGUGAUGGUGGGUAUUGUGGUUUGGAUGUGAAACAUUCCCUGAAGCUGAUAUGUUUGAACAGCUUGUGCUUUGCAGUUGGACGUACUGCUUUGAAAGGUAUGAAUCUUAGGGAGUAGAGCCUUGCUGGAGAGAGCGGGCCACUGGGAGCUGGGAGCAGGCCUUAGGGUUUGAUAGCGUGGCCCAACUCUUUAACUCCUGACUAUAAAUGUAAUGUGGCUAGCUAUUUCACGCUCCUGCUGCCACAACCUCCCUGCUAUGAUGGACUGUAUCCCUUUCAACUGUCAGCCAAAAUAACACUUCCCUCCAUUAACUGCUUCUUGUUGGGUAUUUAGUUAUGGCAGUGAGAAAAGAAAGUAAUAUAGAGGGAGUUGUUUAUUUGCUUUUGCUCUUGGUUCUGCUUACAGUACUGAGGGAUGGAGUCCAUGGCCUUAUUCUUGUUACGCUAUGGAAGUAAAGGUGAGCUCUUCAGAAAAGCCUUUUAUCAUAAAAACAUACAAAAAGGAAACUAAGAAAAGUGCGGAAAAUUGGAGAAUUAGUAAAUGAGCAUCCUAAUCCCGAGCCCUAAUGCAGCAAUUGUCAUUCUGUCACCUUUUCUUCAUCCACCUAUGUGUUUGAUUGCUUGUUCUUGACCAGGUCUCACUAUGUAGCCCUACUGUCUGAACGAUGGCCUCAAACCCAUAGAGAUCCACCUGCCUCUGCCUCCCAAGUGAUGGUAUUUUAAAGGUGUGCACCGCUAUGCCCAACUGAGUCCUUUUUCUUGUAAGACCAUUUUCCUUGUUCUUUUUCAUCUACUAUUGUCUUCUGCACUUUUAUAUAUUCUUUUUUAUCCUUUCUUCAACAUUUUCAUCCUUAUAUAUUCUAUUUCUCUAAAGCCCCACUGGAUCCAGGUUUCAUAUUCAGAAGAACGCCUUAUGAUUAGACGCCCAACCUCACAGUAUGCCACAGUGGCCCCACUACCAAAGCUGCCAAAUUUAACCCUUGAGUUAAGGUGGAAACAUCUACAGCCACCUUCACUGGCAGGAAAUAAGAGGUCAUGAACUUGAGGGGUAUAUGGGAGGGUGUGGGAGCAUGGAAAUGGAAGGGAGAAAUGCUGUAAGCUCAAAAUUAAACAAAAAUUAAUACUCAUUGCUUGUGCAUCAGGAGAUGCUUGCUGUUAGCUUUUUGUAAAAAAAUAAAAUAAAAUAAAACAUAAUGCAAAAAAGUAAAAAGGACCAUAAUCAGGAUGCGCCAUAAGACAAGUGAGACUUUUCCCUUGUCAAUCUGUUGCUCAUUGAUGGAGUAAUAAUUUGAGGCUGUAAACAUUUCUGACUCCCUAAAGAAAUUACAUUACUGAGUUCUUUAAAAUGUAGUGAUAUACUUUUCAUCAUCAUCAUCAUCACCAUCACCACCAUCAUCAUCCUCACCACCAUCAUCAUCCUCACCACCAUCACCCUCACCACCACCAUCACACUCACCACCACCACCAGCAGCACCACCAGCACCAGCAGCACCACCAGCACCAGCAGCAGCACCACCACCACCACCUCCACCACCACCACCACCACCUCCACCACCACCACCACCACCACCACCAUCAUCAUCAUCAUCAUCAUCAUCAUCAUCAUCAUCAUCAUCAUGUUGCUGACUGUGAAUUCAACUGAGACUGAAUUCAAAGCUUCAGUCUCACUAUGACCUACCACGGAAAUACCACCAAUCCCAUGAUUUUAUUAAAGAACUAUGUUCUGGUUCUUCAAAGUUCCUUCAGGAUGAUGUACAAUCUAAAAGUCUGAAGGGAAAACCCAAAUGUCUGCUUUAAAAUUUAAGACAAUUUUUAUUUCCUGCUCAACUCUUUGUGGGUUAGCAGUAGUCAUGUCUAUAUGACAGUGAUUUGGGGUAUUGUUGGCUCCUCACCCAUUCACUUUAUUUCAUGAUCACGACAUGUUAAGUUCAUAAAAGGAGCAAGAAUGUUGUAGAAAUUAAUCCACGUGCAGCGAAGUGAGAUCAAGCAACCACCCAUCACAUUGAGAAGCCAAGCUUCACUGUAGGUCAUGUGGUAAGCUGACACUUCUUACUUUUUUGUUUCAUGUGCGUUGGUGUUUUACCUGCAUGUAUGUCUUGUAAGUGUGUUGCGUCUCCUGGAACUGGAGUUACAACAAGUUGUGAGUUGCUUGGUGGGUGCUGGGAAUUGAAUGCUGGUCCUCUGGAAGAGCACGCAGUACCUUUAACCAAUGAACCGUUUCUCUAGCCGGGCAAGCUGACUUUUGGUGUGAGGUAAUUGCGCCCCAGGCUGGAGUUGGGGUAACGCUCCCUUGAGUGAUUUCUUUGUUUCUUUUUUUUAAAGCAGGUUAAAAGAUGUGAGUUAGUACACACCAAUAACCAAGCAUGUGUGUGUGCGUGUGUGUGUGUGUGAGCACAUACCAAUAACCAAGCAUGUUUGUGUGUGAGUACACACCAAUAACCAAGCAUGUGUGUGUGUGUGAGUACACACCAAUAACCAAGCAUGUGUGUGUGUGAGUACACACCAAUAACCAAGCAUGUGUGUGUGAGUAUACACCAAUAACCAAGCAUGUGUGUGUGCGCGAGUGUGUGUGUGUGAGCACAUACCAAUAACCAAGCAUGUGUGUGUGUGUGAGUACACACCAAUAACCAAGCAUGUGUGUGUGAGUAUACACCAAUAACCAAGCAUGUGUGUGUGAGUAUACACCAAUAACCAAGCAUGUGUGUGUGCGUGUGUGUGUGUGUGUGUGAGCACAUACCAAUAACCAAGCAUGUGUGUGUGUGUGAGUACACACCAAUAACCAAGCAUGUGUGUGUGUGUGAGUACACACCAAUAACCAAGCAUGUGUGUGUGUGAGUGAACACACACCAAUAACCAAGCAUGUGUGUGUGUGAGUACACACCAAUAACCAAGCAUGUGUGUGUGAGUAUACACCAAUAACCAAGCAUGUGUGUGUGUGCGAGUGUGUGUGUGUGAGCACAUACCAAUAACCAAGCAUGUGUGUGUGUGUGAGUAUUCACCAGUGUGUGUGUGUGUGUGUGAGUGAGCACAUACCAAUAACCAAGCAUGUGUGUGUGUGAGUACACACCAAUAACCAAGCAUGUGUGUGUGUGAGUGAACACACACCAAUAACCAAGCAUGUGUGUGUGUGAGUACACACCAAUUACCAAGCAUGUGUGUGAGUGAGUACACACCAAUUACCAAGCAUGGUAGUAUGGUGCCUAAUUAGGAAUAGAAAACCCUUUCUAAAACUCUGUGUGUGCUCACUUUCUUUCCUUCGUUUGUUUUGGUUUCGUCCUCAUCUGUGAUUCAUUUGCCUUUUGCAUCUCCCACAGUUGCUUCUGCAGGAGUAUCAGGCUUGAGUGAACAGCAUGCCUCACACCCACUUCAAACACUGUUGAAAACCUCAUUUAUUAUUUCAUACUGUGGUCUCACUUAAAAGCUAAUGUUACAGAGACUAGGCAGGGGGGGGGGAGACAGAGAAAGACAGAGAGACAAAGACAGAGAGACAGAGACAGACAGAAACACUAUGAGGUAUCCCACAACAGAACUAUGAAGAAAAUAAGAACGUUCAGGAGUCAUACGGGUAGAUGAAAUGUCCAAACACCAGAAUGCUGGAAACCACCCAAGCUUAGGCUUAGCACCGUACAGAAACGUGAUGAAGACCAGGGCUGAUGUUUUCUUCCCAAUGAGAAGUUUCUUACUUAAGGACCGCAUUCUCAGGAUUACAAGGAUUUGCCUGAAUAGCCAAGGGAACACUUACCUACAGAAAAAUCAGAAAAAGGGGAGAGGGGAGAUUCCAUAGGAACCACCUAUUCCAUGAGACUCUAGUUAGAACUUAUAAUAAGCACAGACAUAAUCAUAUUACAUUGCUAUGGGCAGAUGAAAACUACAUUAAGUAGGAAUUAUAUUUUCCCAGUUAGCUAACAUUUUAGACACCAAAACCCAAGUGUUUGUGAAAGUCAAACCCAAUUACAAUUCAAAAUGAUUCAGCACUAUUUAAAGAAAAGCCAGCACAAGAUCAUGUGGCUGAAAAGACUUCAUGCCAGAAGCUUAAUCAUUCAUUCUCCUCCCUCCCUUCCUACACUCCUGAGUAUACAUGAUGCACACCUUCUGUGAAAGCUGCUUACAUAUGACAGUCCGAACUGUCCCAGAUUUCUGGAGGACAUUUACUAUGUUAAUUGACCCCUAUUCCACUGCACUGUGGGAAUGACAGGAAUUGGGGCAGGGAACCAUCUAUCUAAUACAAGACAAAUGGAAAGAAAUCUUCCCAUAGUUCAUGCAGUAGAUAGCCCUCUCCCCCUUCUCUUCUCUCUUCUUUUUCGAAACCAAGUCUCUAUGUAAUCCUGCCUGUCCUGGAACUGUAUAUAGACCAGGUUGUCCAUGAGACCCACCUGCCCCUGCCUCCUAGGCACUGGUAUUAAAGGUGUCCACUGCCUCGCCCAGCUUCCCCCAAGCUCCCAUUUCUAAGCCCUAAGUCACACUUUCACAUAAGGCUGGAAUUUCAGUCCACACCUGUCUGCUGAACAGCUUACCCCAGCAGCUGGUUGCAGUGGGGUUUCUACAUUCUCAGAGAAGAGACCCAAGAUGAGGGAACAACAAAAACGGAACACUUCUUGCUAAGGCUUCAGUGAUUAAUGACCCUCACUUGGCCAGUGCUGCUACUAUCAAUUCUACUUCUCAAAGGUCAGACAGCCAGUAGGUAAAACCAAGGCUCGCAUGUUCAUGUCUCAGCACACUGCUUUAUUAUUCUUCCCCCCUUUGGAAUAUAAUAGUUGUCGUUCUUGGGGUUUUAUCCGAGAAGUAAGGCCCGAGUUGCCUGAGCUGCCUAUAUUUUAAGCCUGUGAAGAGUUUGCUCAUUCUUUAAGAGAACAUAGAAUCUUUACUCAAGCUGCCAUCACUGUUUGCAUCUCAUGAUUGAUGACCUUGAACUCCUAAUCCUCUAGCCUUACCUCAAGUGCUGGAAUUACAGACAUGCCCCACCAUGUCCAGUUUAUGCAGUGCUCAAGGUAGAAGCUCAGGGAUUGGUGCGUGGGCAAGCUCCCUACUAACAUCUCCAGUCUCAUUUUCAUCACUUUAAACUAUGUACCAUUCGAGAGAUAUUAAGUGUGCUCAUAAUGUUGUAUAAUCAUUCAUCUCAAAAUUUUGUCUGUUCCUCAAACCCGUUUAGCCUCCAUUAAGUACUAACCCCCAACCUUCUCUCUGGGGCCCUGGCAAACUACCACUUUACGCUCUGUCUCAAUGAAUUUGACUAUUGUGGGUACUUCAUAUAAGUGGAAUUAUACAAUAUUUCUUUUUUUUAAUUACUGGCUUAUUUCACCUAAUGUGAUAUCUUCAAGACUGACCCAAUUGUGGAGCAUGUGCCCUAUUUCAGGCUGGAUAUUUCUUAGUAUAAGUAUAUCCUGAUUUUCAAGCCAUUCUUCCCACAGUGGACAUUUAAAUUGCUCACUCCUUCUGGCUGUUGUGACCAAUGCUCUGGUGAACAUUGACUUUGUUCACAUGCUUGCUUUCAAGAGGGCUAGCACAGAAGUGGAGCUGCUGGAGCCUGUGGUAAGUUGGUGUUUAAUUGUGAGCUGUUUUUCACAACACGAAUGCUUUACGUCCCCACCAGCAAUGUUCAAAGAUUGGACUUCCACUGCCUUCCUCCUCGUCUUUAACAAGGGCCAUUCUGACACUUGGAGUUUAAUCUCUUUUGUUUUCUGGCACUGCUAUGUCUGGCUAUUUUUACAUAACAGGAUAAUACCUAGUGGCUGCAGGUAGCACACACCUUCCCCUCUCACACACCUUCCCCUCCCACACACCUUCCCCUCCCACACACCUUCCCCUUACCACACACCUUCCCCCUCCCACACACCUUCCCCCUCCCACACACCUUCCCCUUCCCACACACUUUCAAAUGUCCCUUGAGAGAAUCGCUGCUCGGGUGAAACGUCAACUUCUGCCAGAUUGUUUUCUUGAUGUCUGAAGGUUUUGUCACUACUGACUGGCACCACAGGAGACAAUAUUCCAUUCUUAGUCUUCUCUCAACCCUUCUUUGAUUCAUUAGGCAAGGAAUGGAGACAGGAGGAUAGGGGAGGAAGAGAGAAGAUGGGUGGAGGAAGGAGAAAUAUUUCAAAAUAUUAACUUGUGUCACGGGAUCUCUCUUGUUGCUUCCUUGUCUUGAGUAAGCCAUUUUGGGAUGUUCCUUUUCUCAAUUGCGAAUUUUUUUUAUAACAAAGCCUUAGGUUUGCAAUACAUCCAUUCAAAGCAGAAGGAAAUAUAUUAGUGAAACGAAUACAGUGAUGAGUGGAAAUCCUACCUGGAGCACUGGGCUGAUCUGACCAUCUGCAUGUCACUGACUGUGACUUGUCAGGUCUUGGGAUGUCACAUGACUUCAUGUAACUCCAUUGGUAAGAAAGGAGAGUCAACUGGAUAACCACUGUUCUCUCUCUCUCUCUCUCUCUCUCUCUCUCUCUCUCUGUCUCUCUCCUUGUAAUAGAAAUUAAUUAAUUGGGAGUUUCUUCCCCACUUUUGAUCAUUCAUAGUCCCAAAAAAGACAGAAAACCUUUAUAUUUACAAGCAUUAAAGCAUCAGAGCUUGGCAGAUAUCAACCAUCUAAGCUAUUUGGUAGCUUAGAUAACCCCCUUAUAACUUGCCACUCUCUGCCUGGGCAGCUCUUACUCCAAUUGGCCAUGUUGUCAUGAUUCACCUACCUCACGGUGUCUUCUCCUCUCUUCACUUAUCUGUUCUCCUCCUUGUGGUCCAAGCCUGGGAACAGAAGCUCUGCCUACCUCUUUUCUGCCCUGCUACAGGCUGUUGGCAUCUUUAUUCAAGCAAUAGUUUUACAUUAAAGAGCAAGGUGAAAUAGCAUCAUUUGGUGUAUGUGAGGAUUUCCUUGUCCCUGAGGCAACCAUAGCCAGAAUUUAUCAUUACAGUACACAGCAACGGACUACACUUCAACACACACACACACACACACACACACACACACACACACUCACUCACUCACACACUGGUGUUUUUCAAGGCAGCGUUUUUCUGGUUAUCCUUAAACUUGCUCUAGAAUUGGUUGGCCUCAAACUCAGGGUUCUACCUGCUUCUGUCUCUCAAGUUGUAGGAUUAAAGGUGUAUGCCACCACCUCUCAAUCCUUGUCUCUUAAAAGUGUGAAACUAAUUUAUUAAUCUCAAGAAUUCAUGUGCUAUAUGAAGGAGUGUUCCAAAAGUAUACAUAUCCUUUUCCUGCAGUGUUUACAAUUUGAGUACCUCUCCUGUUUUUGAAAAACCCCUGGUGUUCAGAACAUCUACUUCCUUAAAUGGCACUCUGAGGAGAGAUCUGGCUACUUUCUAACUACCUCACAUCAGACCUCUGAGUCAGCCUUUUUAUUCGAAAGGCUCUGGAUUUGCCCCAGUCCCAGAUACUGGUAACUAAUAGCUAGGUAGGAUGAGUCACCACAUAAUCCCAGUACCUGGGAGGUGAAAGCACAGGUAUCUAGAGUUCAAUCCUAGCCCCAGCUACAUAGUAGAACUUGAGGUAUAGACAGUUGUAGGCCUCCAUGUGGGCACUGGGAAUCGAACUCUGAUCCUCUGGAAAAGCAGCCAGUGGUCUUAACCACUGAGCUACCUCUCUAGGAACUAUGUUAUAGCUAUGUCUAUAACCCCUACACUAGCUUAUAGAAACUUUUCCCACAUUGCUUACAAUCUGGUGGUAGCAUAAUUUAUUUUUAGAUUAUGGUACUUCUUCAAGUAAUAGAGAACUAUUAAUUAGUAGAUUAGUACAAUAAACAGAAAGGAUAAGUGCAUGAUGAUCCAUCUGUUAAUGUUUUAUUUUCUCAUAUAUUUAUUUAGUUACCCUACUUGGCCAGGCAACUGGCAAGUUUCUUGUUCGUGCCUAUCUGGCUUAACACCUGGUGGAUAGUAGACACUCACUGAAGUUUACAAAACGCAUCUAGGUUAGGUAAAUGGAUUAAUGAACUAACUAAAUGCAGGCUAAUAUAUUUUAAAUAACUUUUUACUUAAACAAUUUUACAGGUAGUAUUGGUAAUUAAUUAUUAAAUGGAUAAUUAUGUCUUUUUAAGAAUCCACUUCCAGGCGUAGUGGUGUGCUCCCUUAAUCCCAGCACUUGGGAGACAGAAGCAGCCAGAUCUCUUAGUUUGAGGCUAGUCUGAUCUACAAAGUGAGUUCUAGGACAACCAGAACUACACAGAAAAGUCCUGCCCCACAUAAAUACAUAAAUGCAUAUCAUACAUACAUACAUACAUACAUACAUACAUACAUACAUACAUACAAAAGAGAAGAAAGAAAUCCACCAAUCACACAAUGGGACAGCUGCCUGAUGGCCUCACAUAACUCUAAAUUAUCUCCUAAGGGUUCCCACCUCCAUUAAUGAAUGACUUUGGAGAUUAACAACAUAUAAUGUUUGGAGGACACAUUCAAAUUACAGCACACCUUCAAGCAUUCUACAACCAAAUUGCCUGAAUAUUGUUGUCAUCCCCCUAUUGUUGUCUACAUUAUUUUUUGAGACAUGGUUUCUCAUUGAACUUGAAGUUCAUCAAUUGAUCUAGGCUAGCUUUUCAAUGAGCUGCAAUGGCUGUCGCCCUGGCACUGGGGUAUGAACCCACAUCUUUUUGCCCAGAUUGCAUGGAUGCUGGAAAUCUGAACUUAGUUCCUCAUUCUUGCAUGGUGGUCACUUAAUGGUGAUGUUACUAUGUCAACUUCACUAGGCUACAAGGAGAUCAAACACCUGGUCAAACAUUAUUCUGGAUUUGUGGAUGAGGGUAUUUCUGAUGAGAUUAGCAUUGGGUUGAUGGACUAACAUUGGUGAAGCUCAUCUAGUGAACCGAAGGUCAGACUUUCCUUGCCUUCUGUGAGUGGCAAUUCCUCUAGACUAGCCUACAAGAUGGAAUGGCAAGGUCUGUUUGGUUGUUUGGUUUUCAUCCCUAAAAUCAAACCCAGUUCUUCCCAAGUCUUGAGCUACCUUCUGAAGUGGAAGCAACCUUUUCUCCAGGGUCUCCAGCUUGCUGACUGUGGAUCUUGGGAUUUCUCAGGUUUACACAGGCAUGUGGGCCAAAUACAUACAGGAAAUGUCUCUCAAUAGUGUUUCUGUUUCUAUGGAGUACAAUGACUAAUGUACAUGACAAAAGGAAUUCCAGUUUUAUCAAGUUCAGCCAUGAAGUAUUAUAAAUGUUUGUAGUAAUGCUUCUAGGGGCUGGGGGGUUAUAUAGUCCUUGUCUAUCGUGUCUGAGUUCCAUCCCAUCACCACGUGAAUUAAACACACCUGUAAUGUCAGGACUGGGGAAGUAAGGACAGGAAGACCGGAAGUUGAAGUCAUUAUCAGAUACAUGAUGAGUUGGAAGGUAGCCUGUGGUGAGAGACUACAGAGGGGGUGGGGGGAGAGGGAGAGGAAAGAAAGGUAAAAUAAAGAAAACAAAGAAAGAAAAACAAAGUUUCUAAAACAAAUGUACCAGAUAUAAACCUGAGGGAAAGCAAGCAUUUAGUAUAAAGGCAGCUUGUACAUAAGAAACCACAUAUAAGAGUUCACACCGCGGCUGUGUGUUACAUAUUGAACUCUACUUUCCUUCACUCUCAUCUUUAAAAGGAAAGCUCUUCCAUGGUAACUGCAUCACUAAAUAGCAGCAGAAAGGUUUGCGCCUCAGCGGAGGGAGGAACCGGUAAGAACAGGAAGGACGUGGGCUCUGAGAUGCUGUCUGCUGCUUGCUCUCAGCGCCUGCUCAUCUCCCUACCCUGCACCCCUCACAGCUCAGCCUCCACUCCUCGGCCAACAGACGGACCACUUAACUGAAUGGCCCAGGCGGUUAUAUCCAAGACCUAGUUUGUCUGCAUUUUUCUUACCCUGAAAUAGCUGCUUUUAUUUAUUUUAUUAUUUAUUAUUUAAUCAGACUAAAUGCUCCUUUGAAUAUGAAAAUGGAGGUGCUAGAAGAAGCAUAUGGAAGCUAAAGAGGAGACAUGGCAAGGUGACGAGGUGAUAGUCUCCUAGAACCCAAGUUAUGAAGGACCACCAUUGGAGGCUUAGGGCACUGAAGAGGCAAAAGAAAAAAGAAAAGAAAGACGUUUUUAGCCUUCAGCCCAAAAAUGCCUUAUUUACUCCCAAUUAUCCCCAGUAUUUAUUACAUAUUUGCCAUGUGCUUGCCAUUAUAUCGACUGAUUUUAAUUCUUCAAAGGACUUGGAAAUUAUUCUCAUAAAUCACUGGCUGAUUCCACUUUUCUCAGCCUUUGCACAAUUUCUAAUCUCAGCACCCAAAAUAACAGACUUUUAAAACCCCUUGCGUACAGGCAGCAUUAUAUCAUCUCUCUAGCAAAAUGUUAUCUGUUAGCAAAGUCAUCGUGUUCCUUUUAAUGCACACACACAAGACAUUUUAGGGUUUUUUUUUAAUUUCUUCCUUCUUACUUACAUUUUUUUUUUGGACCCAAUUGAUAAGAUAUAAUUGCCCACUUAAACAUACAAAGCCCGGUACCAUCCAUCCCUUGAGAACAUUAAUAACAACCUGUAAAUACACAGAGCAGAAUCUUAACAUCACCUGCCAUGGCUUCUCCCCUCUCUCUCCGUCUCUCUCUCCUUUUUCUCCCUUUCCUCGUCUCCUCCUCUUCCUUCAAACUUCUCUCCCGCCCAUCCUUCCUUCUCCUCCAAUGAUACGCCUCCUUCUAUACUGUACCUGCCCCUCACCUGUACUUUACAAAUUCAAUGGGGAGGUGGUUCUGGUGAAGUCACCUGAGUUCUGAGAAUGUGACUAGGCAGCUGUCCUUGGGGCAGUGGAAUUAGCAUCAAAAUACAGAUAACUUCAGGGCAAACCACAACAUUUUCCCCCUUUUUGUCCAGUUAAAAAAAAGCCUUUUCACUCAUAUAUAAUUGGAGUACAAUUAUUACCAUUCUACAAUUUAUAAAGCAUAAGAUAUUCUCAACACCGAGUCCAUCACUAUAUCAGUUAAACAGAACAUUUAGUUAUUCAUUCCAGCUUAAGAAAGGUUUAAAAUCUAUAUUAUAUCUUGGCUAGCUUAUAUACUAUCUGAUAACUAUCCAAUAAAAUAUGUAAAUACAGAGUUAUACAGCCUAAUAGGCUAUGAGACUAUAAUCAGUCUUCAACUCUGUCAGAAAUCUGGGAAUGACCAAAUAUCUAUACACAUAAGAAGCCUAACACGGCUUCCAGAACUGAGAGGUUGUAGAGACAAAUCUCCGCUAGCACAGUCCCCUGUUAGCAACAUGUGAGCGCAAGUCUUCAGCCUUCUGGCCCAAAAUCAACUGACAGACUCUUGAAAUGCAGAUUUUGAAAGGCUGAUCACCCUGUCUUGGCAGGGUUUAUCAGUCAACUAUUCUGCAUAAUUUGUCCUUUUCUGAACAUUAUUAGUCUGCAGAUGAAACAGGCAGUUUUGUCCAGUGGCUGCCUAGACACAAAGGAUUGCCUCACCUGGAGGUAGAGAUGUUCAAAUUCUUCGUUAAAUCCACCAAAGGGGAACUGUUAGGAGCAGAUAUGUCUCAACAAAAGAUAAAUACCUUUAAAUCUCAAAUUUUGUGGAUUUCUGACGUUUUUGAAAACCAUCUAUCUAUAUAAGACAAUCUGGACUGUUAUCUCCAUAUCCUAAAUUUUUUCUUGAAAGUACUCUCACAAACUCAGAGCCAUGACUUUGCUAUUUGAAUCUUAACUCACAGGUGUAAUCAACUCAGAAGUUUGUAAUGACAACAAUAGAAGAACUGGCUCUAAACCUUGUACUUUUAAACUCUUUUGACAAAUAAAUUCUAUAUCAAAACAAAGAUAUAAGCUUAGUUACCAAAUGAGAUUACAACUGUAUAACUCAAUCUAGCUAAUUCCUCCCUGUAAAUUACCAUUUCUAAAUUCCUCAUAAAAACAACUUUAGAAUAACCACUUUCAGCCCCCCAAAGUCCAGGGAAUUGAGACGAUGACUCCUCCAUAACUUCUUCAAGCUGUACAUGGGCAUUGAGAUAUCCUUGGGGGUAUGGGGGUAGGAAGAAUGAAGCAAAUGCUGUAGCCAAUGUAUCCUGACUGGACCCAGUUGAAAGUCCUUGAGACCAGGAAUCCAAGUAGGCACACUCUGUAAAAUACAACUCUCAAGACAAAAGUUUAGAAUCGAGAUAUCUUUUUGUUUGAUUCUCCUGAAUAAAAUUUUCAGGCGGUCUACCUCUAUCAAAUCUGAUCAGUAUGACUCUGUGAGGUUUCCAGAGCCUCAUCACACUUUUUAAAAACACAAAGACAAAAUCUUUCUCCCAAAAUACUGUGUUCCUUAGUCUGAAACUAGAAAAGCUUGUAUCUUGCACUCUCUGCCAGAGUAAUAAUAUAACCAUAAAAGUCAAAGUCACACCCAUCAUGAAGACUAAACAAAUUUUUAAAAAGGAAGUAAGCUAAACAAUGAGCCUGAUAGGCUUUUGUACUCUAUGAUAUCAGGAAAUGAACCCAAAAUUCCCGUUAAGAGAAUUCGAGCUUCCUGUUGUGGUAAAUAUCAAAAGUAACCACAAACCCUUACUAGCCGGCAUCAAUGAGCCACAUGGCCUUUAGCGGGGUAAUUCAUAAAACAAACCAAAUACCUUUUAUCAAUUCCAGUAUCAAUAUGCAACACAUCAAACCAGGACUUUAGCCCAAAAUAUCUCAAUCUGUCAAACUCUCUACUCGGAGCCACAGAUUUUUAUUUAACCUUAACAACUUCUAUAAUAUAUGUCUGCAUUCACUCUGCCUGGUGUUACAGACAUUUCAUCACAACUCUCUACUUGGAGUUAGUGACUAAUUUUUCCCUAUCUGAGUUCCGAACCAUAGAUGAAAAUCCCCACCUGAUUCAGGUAAUCUCUUUACUCUCUUCUUUCUAAAAACAAACUCAAUCACCUUUUAAUAAUACCUGUAAUUAAGAAGUAGCUUGUUUAACUAGGAUUUCAACCCAAAAUUCCCGUGGAGCCCAUGUUAAAAAGAAUAUGAGUAUCCUGAAAGACUUUCUAAACAACUUUCUUUAAAAAACAGCUUUAAAUCUCUGACUCUCUGGUCUGCUAUUACUUCUCACACAGCAGGGGACCUACAGCCUGCCAGCCCAGGUGGCUUCCCCUUUCUUUGUUUGAAUUCCCCUGCUUAAGAUAUCACAUGACUUAACAUGGCGCCAGCCUCCUUUUACUUAGAAAAUAAAAACUUUCUCUCAACUCUUAGGAUUACUAGUGGAUUCUUGCCCAUCACCUUGGCUCGCCAUCUGUUGUUGUAAAAAUAUAAAAAUAAAAAGUAUUGUUGGUCUUUUACCCCGCUGGGUCUACACCUCGGUGCCCCAAGAUAUCUGCUAGAUAUCUUGGCGGAAACAAUCCCAACUCCAUGGCGGCCCAGACCAGUCGCCCCACACUCCAUUACAUUACUUAAAUCUACACAUUAAAGAACACACAACACAAUAAUCUUUGACUCAAUUGAUAAGAUAUAAUUGCCCACUUAAACAUACAAAGCCCGGUACCAUCCAUCCCUUGAACAUUAAUAACAACCUGUAAAUUCACAGAGCAGAAUCUUAACAUCACCUGCCAUGGCUUCUCCCUUACUUACAUUUUAAAGAUUAAAAACCAACAAAAUUUUCUAUUUCAGUUUAAUUCAUACCCUUUGAUCAUGGGGCCAAAUGUAUCUACAUUUCUAUUGCUGACAAAGGAUUUGCUUUUUUCAUCAUAACAUUUUUAUUGAUUUCUCUGGGAUUUUCACCUCAUGUGCCCCGAUCAUAUUCACGUCAUAGUCCUUCCGUGUUUGCCGCCCCCCCCCCCGCGCGCCCACAACCCUUGUGACCCUCCCCAAAGAAGUAUAAAUAAAGAUAAGAAUGAAACAAACACAGAAGUCUAAUUUGUGUGAUCCAUAUUCUCAUCGGAGCGUGUCCAGACUCUCAGCGGCCAGCCCCUUAAACUGAGCACACACUCUUUCCCUCUUCACCCUCUCCAAGAGGCCUUCAAUUGUGAAGAGCCACACUUGGGCAUCUUAAGACUUUUCUUUCCUGGCUCCCUCUAUAGGCUUUAACUUUUUUGUAGUGGUGGUGGUCGGACGUAGGAGUAGGUGGGGGUCGGACGUAGGUGUGGGUAGGGAUUGUCCCAGAAACCUUCGCAGCUCUUCCCAACCGCAAUGUCUGUCUGCAGUCAUCUCUGUCACAGCAGAAGCACUGCCCCCACCUUGCUCUUUACAGUCACUUUACAGUCUUUACAGAGCACUGACUCUCGAUGGUCUCUGGUGGUAGCUCAGGCUUACAACAUGGCUGCCAGCUGCAGUGGGACCAUGGAAUCAGAUCCGGUCCUCAGAGGCAGCCUGGACCAUGAACAUCAACCUGGCCCAGGUGGCAGGGAGGCGUGGCCUCCUGGGGCGGCACAGCCCACAAGCACCCACACGGUCGGUCCCACAGCUCUGACAUCCACAUGGUCUUUGGUAACAACAUGGGCCAUUGACUUCAACACAGCCUCAGAAGUAGCAGGACCAUGGCACAAAGUUUUCUUUAAUUCACCAAUAUUUCAUGAGAUUUAUUCAUUUUAAUUACCUUUUGAUAUUCAAAUAUAAAUAUAUCUAACAUUUAAAUACUGCUAAAUAUGCUCUAUUGUUAAUAGUUAGGAUGCUUGUAGAAGCUCUCACAACACUAAAAAAAAUAAAAGUAAAAAAAUCUUUGUCCUUAACUCAGGUAAUUUCAUUGAGAAGUAACCACAUUAAAUGGUAACUACGUUAAAUAAAUAAAGGGAAAUGUCAUUUGACUUCAUUAACGUUGCAUAAAACAAAAACUCAUGUGAGUACAUAAAUGUCCUUGUAAAGUACAUUUAAAGGGGAAAAUGGUAAAUCUAAUUCAAGUCUUUGUUACUUAAUUUGCUUUGGGAGGAGAAUGAUUUGUCUUUUUACAGACAUUAUGAACACAUACUACCGAUACCAGACCGCUUGAGAAAAAAUACAAGAUUCCUGUGAGCUGAUUUCAGACCUUACAGUGAACUCCAAGAGCAAAGCCCGUAUAAUAUGUAGAUCUGACUUAAGACCCAGUGCAUGUCACAGAUACCCACUGUAUGGUUUUGUACUUGCCAAAAGUCUGCUAACAGCCCCCGAUGUCAGUCUUGUCAACUGUACGUUUUUAAUCGGCAUGGAAAGGGAGCUCUAUGGAAAAAUCUACUUCAGGUUAAUUGAGAUAGAAAGAUGCGCCUUAAAUGUACCUACUACCAUCCCAUGAGCUGGAGUCCUGAACUGAAUAGAAAGAGAAAAGCAAGCUGAGCCCAUUCAGCUUUCUCUGCUUCUUGACCACAGAUAUAACAUGGCCUGGGGAUUGGGGAUUGUGCCUUGUCCCCUCUGUUGAGCUGUACCCUUGGGAAUCCUGAACCAAAAUAAACCCUUCCUUCCUUAGCUUGGUUUUAUCGGGUGUUUGGUCCCAGCCACACUUAACUAGACUACCUUCUUCUCCUGUAACAAUUUACAUACCUGGUAAACACAUAUUGGGGUGCUCUCCAGUGAUAUCAGAAAACAAAGAUCAAUAUUCAGAGAGUGGUCAGAUCAUAAACAGGAACCAAACUCAUUUUGUCUGAGUUUUCUGCCUUGGCAGAGAUACCUUGUCUCUCCUGCAGAAGACAGAGUAUGGAAAACCAUCACGUUUAAUGGAGAGGGGGCAGUAGCAUCUGUAUACACACAGUUGGGUUCCAUGUAGCUCAAAAGCAGAAGUUCCUAGCACAUUGUGCCCAGUAGUGGAACGCUGGCCUUGUUUAGUAGUAACAGUGCAGUACAACCACUGAUCUGAGCUGGAAAACAGCUCUUCCCUCUGUUCCCUCUUCCCACAUGAGCUAACUCCUUUUGUGUAAGAACUCCAGAGACACAGGAGGGUUUCUUCUCCCUUCUUGAAGUUUUCCCUUGGCUAGCACCUUAUGGUAAGGGUAGGAUUCAGAAAAUGAAUAUUUAUCUGUCAUUCUUUUUUCCUCUUAGAGAACCCGGUCACACCGUGGAGCCUGGACUGACCUUGAACUAGAAUCCUCAUCCUCAUGAGCAUGCUCAUGUGUAUCUGGUUCAUUCUUCUUUAGACAAUAUCCCUCUCACCAGAUGAAAACUACCAUCAAUAUCCAUCAAUUACCUAAUUAAAAAUCUUAAAUACACGAAACCUGAUACCUUGCCAAUUUGAUGGAUUACUAAUCAUUUUUUUUGGUUCUUUUUUUCGGAGCUGGAGAUCAAACCCAGGGCCUUGCGCUUCCUAGGCAAGGGCUCUACCACUGAGCUAAAUCCCCAGCCCCAUUACUAAUCAUUUUUAAGGAACACAUAUAAUUUUAAUACCUUGCACAGUUGGGAGAUUGUUGGAUAAAUUGGAGAAGUUUCUCUUUUCUUUAAAAGCCAAAUGUAUAGCAAUGAAACAUUCUAUGUUUAGCUUCUAUUACCAUUUGACAGUUUUAUGACAAAUUAUAAGUCUAUUAUAUUGUUUGAAUUCCUAAAUAGUCAAUCAACUACAAAAAAUAUACUGGAAAAGGUUUUUUCUUCUUUUGCCCUUAUUCUGUGGACAAUCUGAGCCUUUAAUAAUUACUCUUAAAAGGCCUCGCUCAUUUUCCAUGGCCCAUAACCAGGAUCCAAGAUAGUAUUCCAUUUCUUACUCCUGCAGUCCGCCUUGAGUGACUUCCAAGCUAAAUAAGAUGAAAAGCCUUGGGCAGUCUGUGUUUAUGCAUGGUGGAUCACUGAACUGAGUACCAUUUCUGAGCCUCUUCUUAUGCAGCUCCUGCACACACCCCCACCCCCUUCUCUACGGACAAAAGACAGCUUUUUGAGCACCUCAACAGAACAUGGUCCUCAGGUCUUCAUUAAAACAGCUGUGAUGUUGCUGUCUCUGGAUGCAAAACAUUUGCUUUUAUAAACAGCUUGUCCAAUAAGGAGUAGGUAUGGUCCACACAUCGUGUCUUCUGUAUGCCUGGACACACACACACACACACACACACACACACACACACACACACACUGCACAAUUCUCCUCUUAUGUUAGUCAGUAACAGAAUGGAGCAAAGACAUACUCCAAGAAACAGUCAGAACCACAGUGUCCCUUUUGUGAUAGCAUACGGUAGAGGGACUAACAUGGUAUAGGAAAUGGUCCAUUCUGUCUCUAAGAGUGGCCCUCCAGGCACAGUCAGAAGACAUUCUUUCUCUAUUUCCCCCACAGAUAAAUGCUAGCUAGUCCCCUACCACAUGCUUGGUAUGCAGUGAAUGUUCAGUAAACGACUGUCUGUGCAUGGAUUCAAGAAGGUGGAUUUUUAUGGGCUGGAAUUAGGCUAACACAUCUGAGGAAAACACUGUCUGACUUAGCAUCUAGACGCCAUUCCUCAGAUUUAUCUAUAACUCCACCUUUGCAAAGCCUUUUUGUGUCUAAUCACCUGCAGAAAAUCUCUUUUGCCACCCACUCUCUUACAAUUUAAAAAUUAAAAGGCCCUUUGGAUAUUUUAAAAUAUUCUCUUGGACAGAAUUUCAAGUCUUGCUUAUUUGCCUGUCUCCAUGUAAUAACUGCAGAACUGGAACACACGCAGUUUUCAGAAUCCAGGUCCAAUGGGGCUAAAGCAGAGUUGGUCACGCUAGAGAUACUAAAUCUCAAUGGGCUGUUUUAACAAUGCACUGCCCGAGGCGGAUAUUUAGCUCCAUCUGAGAACUAUAGGCAAACAUUCCAGUUUUCACCUUUACCAACUUGUGGAAAGAUUCUUCCAAAAUACACAAAAAUCCAGGCUUGGGUGACUGGCAAUUCUGUCAAUAAGCUCAGAUUUUUCUCCCCUCCCCAUGCUCUCAUGAACCCCAGGGCAGCAGUUAACAAGACAAAACCAACUCUCCCUCUCUCCUUCUUCCUCGUCUCCCACCAUGUUACAUUAGUUCAGUUGUAAUCUAAUGCAGUGGGUAGCAAUUUGGGUUAAAUUCUAUUCAUGUUAGUGGCAAAAAUAAAAAUGGCCAAAUUCUAGACCAAGGCCAAGAAACUAGACAAUGUGUUUCUUUUUGACAGUAAGAAAAUUAUUAUUUCUCCCACCCAGAGAAACGGCUCAGUGGAUAAAGACUCUGGCCACUGAGACCCAUGAUAGGAGUUCAGUCCCCAGGAUACACAUGGUAGAUGGAAAUACAUCAAGUUGUCCGCUAACAUCCACACACAAACUCUGCACCUACACCCGAACACACACAAAAUGAUGAUCAUCGUGAUGAUGGUGAUGGUGGUGGUGGUGGUGGUGAGCUGGAGAGAUGACUCAGCAGUCAAGAGCACUGACUGCUUUUCCAGAGGACCUGGUUUUCAUUUCUAGCACCCACAGAGCUGCUCAGAACCAUUUGUAACUUCGGUUCCAGGGAGCAACAUCCUCUUCUGGGCUCUGAGGGUCCCAUGCAGGCACGUGAUAAACAGACAUGCUUACAGAUAAAACAUCCCUACACAAAAAUAAUUACUAGGGAAUAAAUGUCUCUUUAAAAAUAGAGAAAAUACCUUUACUAGAAUGACUGUUCACAAAAUGUAAGUGCGUGGUACAUUCCUAUCAUCCCCAAGAUUCAGGGGGUUGGGAAAGAGGAUUAGGAGAUCAAAACCAGUGUUGGCCACAUAGCAAGACCCUGUCUGGGGGAGUGUGGGGAGAUGAUUAGAUGUUUACUCAGACUUAAACCAGGGCAUAGAGAAAAUUCACAUACAGAUGAAUAAAACUAUUUGUCUUUCAAAAGGGGUUUUUUUAAUUGCUUAUAUAUACACCAUAAGAGACUUAAAAAUGCCCAAACGAUGUAGAAAAUUCUCAGCUUUUUAAUUUCAACUAUAGAUAUUAUUGUUCUCUGUCCCAGCCAGGUAGCAGCGGUGCACGCCUUUAAUCCCAGCAUUCGGGAGGCAGAGGCAGGUGGAUCUCUGUGAGUUCCAGGCCAGCUUAGUCCAUAGAGUGAGUUCCAGAACAGCCAGAGCUACACAGAGAAACCCUGACUCAACAAAACAAACAACAACAACAAAAAACAAAAACAAAAACAAAAAGAACGAAAGAAAAUCAAACAAACAAAAAACAAAAUAAAAAACAGAAAAACUAAACAAUAGAUCUUGACUUCCUCACUUUGGGCUUCAGCUGAUACUUGUCUUUGGUCAUUCCAUUUAUGUCUGUCCUGACUCUGCUGCUGCUGCUGCAGCUGCAGCUGCUGAGCCUAACUGGCUCUGCCCACUUGAAGCCGCCCCAGGAGCAGCUCCGGGUCCUGGAUAUCACCAUUGGGCUCACUUCCUGCUUCAUGCGUUGUCUUCAGUCUGCGGGCUGGGUCCUGUCACACCUGGAGGGCUAUGAGAAGCUGUUUCCCCCUCAUCCUUUGACUAGACCACCUUGAUCACGUUUCCUGCAUUCCUGGCUGGGAUUCCCUGGGACCAUGUUAUUCAAUUCCAGUCACCUUUUCUGCAAUCAUGACCUCUCGAUGUCUCCAUGGUGACAACUGGGACCACAUAUAUUGGUUCUAUAUAUAUAUUCCCCCUUUGUAACAAUAAAGUCUAUUUAAACCUUGAAAAAAAACCAACAACAAAGCACUGUCCCUUGUCCCACUAAUAGCACACCCAAUUUUUGAACAGAGGGAGCAGAAUGGGUAGCUGAUAACAUUCAGAAGCAGAGAUACUGAAUCGUUUUGUUCCUAUGGCCAUUCGUGGGCAAGGUAACUAUAGCAACUUGGUUGCAUCAAAUGAAUAUUGCCCUAUUUUACUUCAAAUUAGGUAAAUAAACAUAGCGUUUCAGAAUUACGGAAUUAGCCCUCACUUGUCACAUUGAACAUGCCCAAUCUCAGAGUAUAAAUUUUCACAUUUUAGCAAUGCUAGAAUGUUUAAAUUGAUUAUUAUUCAGUAUACUUUUUUUGCUUAAUCUAAUAACAAGAGCACUAUUGUGUCAAACAUUACAAAACCAAAUGUUAUAAUUCCGUUGUAGAUAUUUUACUUAUUUAGAUGCAGUACUAGGGAGAGAGAUCUAGUUAAGCAUUGGGACUCUUUCUAGAAGUUUAUUUCAAAUAUGUAUCAGAGCUGCCCUCCCCCUCCACACACAUCAUUCUCCUAAGUGACCCACUCGCACCAAGAUGCCUUGUGCUGGAAACUGGGUAGCAGUGCUGUGUUGCCUUGAGAGCUCUGUCCGAGGUUCCAGCCCUGAUUCUUCCGUUUGAUAGCAUCUGCCCAGCUGCAAGACAGUGCGAAAGUCACGUGACUGGUAACCAAAAGGCCUGGGCGGUUUGCUCUUCCGUGGACUGAGCAAUGGUUGCUGGGAUUGCUCACUUGGAUUCUCCUCCUAGGAUGGGAUGUAACAUAUUCCAUCUGACGCACUCAAGGCAAGAAAAGAUAUCAUGAUUAAUUUGACAAAUGACCCCAAAACCCAGCCCUGCUGCUUGGGAAUUUUCCCCUUGAGUGCUUUGCUUAGAACAAGUUUAUGUAUCAAAUAAGAAAGAGACUUGUUUCAUUUGACCACAGAGUGUAAGCAUGCUGACGUUUCACAAGAGGUUUCUUCUUUUUAAGCCCAUUUCUGUUCCUUCCUUCUUCUCUUCCUCCCCUCUUCUUCCUCCUCCCUCCCUCCUCCCCCCACCCCUUCAUCCCACCCAUGAAUGUUUAACGCAGAAGAAAGCAGUCCUAGGUUUAGGCUCAUACCAAAUCACCUGUGUUGCUGGUCAUUUUCCUUUUUAAUGAAAAGAACGUUAUUCUCGAAACCAAGAAGAAUGUCCGUUUUCACACGCAUCAGAAGGUAAGCUAUAUAUGUUAUGCAUGCGCACGUGGAAAUCGUGGAGAUAUAGAAUCAUUUCCUGCUCUGACCAGUUUUUUACCACAUGCACUUCGGUAGCACCAAUUCAUAUUAUUCUGCAAUAAUCGCCAUUACCCAGAGCCAUUUCGUUUUCCUAAACUGGAAUUUUAAACCACUAAACCAUAAAUACUAAUUCCCUCUCCUCCCAUUCAGUUCUCUGUGGAUUUGACUAAGGACUCUCUAUAUAUAAAUAAAAUUAUACAGCCUUUGUCUUCUUGUUAAAGCUUAUUUUACACAACAUUAUGAUUUUUGAGAUCCACAUGUGUUGAGAGGGUGAAGGGAGUUAUGUAACACUAUGGCCUUAAUCUUCAUACUGGCUUUUGAGUUAUUAUUAGGAAGUAGAGGGAAGAAAUUAUUUAGAACAGGAAGGCAAAAAAGAUUCAUGGGCUAGUAUGAACACUGCUGCUGUGAGUGCCACUGGAUGAAUAUCUUUUCAGGUCCUGAUUUCACUUCUUUUAGUCUUUCAAAAUCUUUCUUUUAUUAUUUACAUGUAUUUUUAUGUGUGCACUAUGUGUUUGGGGGCACACAGGUAUGUGGGGGUAAGAAGGCAACUUUGUGGAAUCUGUUCUUUCUUUGAACCUUUCUGUGGGUUCCAGGAAUUGAACUCAGAUCAUCAGGCCUGCUGGGCAAACAUCUUAUUUGAUGAGCCAUCUUGAUGUCCCCUAAAUUGAAUGAUUUGGUCUUUUACUAUGAAUAGGAUUGCUGGUUCGUAUUGUAAUUUCAUUAAGCAGUUGUCAUUUUAUUUUUGAGACACUCUCACUGUGCCAUCCUAAAUGGACUGGAACUGUCUGUGUGGAACAAUCUAGCCCCGAGUUUAUGGCAAUCCUCUUGCUUUGACUUCCAGAGAGCUGACAUACUCAGCAAUCCAUUUUAAGUUUUGAGAGAAUUAAAAACCGUUUCCCCAGUAGUUACAUGAUCUCAUUUGGCUCCAGAUAAUGCAUGAGGCUUCUACUUUCUCUGCAUACUCUCCAACACUUGUUAGUUUUCGCUUUUUUAAAAAAAGAAGAUUCAUUUAAGAGCUGGACAUGGUGACUCACCCAGCUCUCAGGAGGCAGAGGCAAACAGAUAUUUGAGUUUGAGGACAGUCUGACCUACAAAGUAAGUUCCAGGAUAGCCAGGUCUACACAGAGAAACCCUGUCCCCAAUAAAACGAACAAAAAAGGAGGUCAUCACAAGAGUUUAAACUUCAACGUCGAGCUGACUCCAGAGCCCACUCUGGUUUCAAAAUUAAUCAGUUGAUUAAUUAAUGAAAAUAGGUACCAUCCCAAAUGGUGUAUAUGCUCACCUUUUCCCUCUAAGGGAUCAAUUCUAGGGAUUUAAUUUCUCCUUCUUCCUCUCCCUCUCCUUCCCUCUCCCCUCUCCUCCCCCCUUUCCUCCUCUUCCUCUCCCUCUCCCCCUCUCCCUUGCCUGCACAAUCGAAAAGUCCCACUCGACUCCCUGCCCAGCCACUGGCUCUACAGCAAUUCUUUAUCACCAAUCGAAGACAGCUGGGAGCAGGGACCCUCAGUUUUGGAAGUACAGCUUUUAGAAACCAAAUUAGACCAAGCAUUAGAACCAAUUCUCAACAAUCAACAUACUGGUUUUUAACAUCUGGAAAACAAUACUUCGACAGAAGAAAAGAACCAUUCUGGUACUGUACCUUAACCACCAUCAUUUGUCCUUCAUCUGGUGGUGAUCUGUUUCAUCAAGACACUGCAGUUAGCAAAGCUUCCAAGCUUUCUGAAAACACCUAACACAUUCUAUCCUAUGUUCUAUGGAAUACCAUAACCUGUUUAUUUGACUCAUUGUGAUGAGCAGGAAAUACUUAAAAAUGAAUGUUUUUUCCAUUACCUUCUGCCCCAUCACUUUACUCAUAAUUUAGUGCAUUUCCAAACCGUUAGAGAAGCUGCCUCAGUGGAUGGAGAUUAACAUGGAGACCAUCAGCUGUACAACAUGUAAAGCUAGGAGACUGCAGAGUUCUCUGUCCUAAGUGGGACAUCUAUGCCAUACUUGCAAGGCUCAAGGAUCAUCAUGGAAGAAGGAGCCAAAAGACUGUAAGAUAUAGAGGCAGUAGAUGGGUAUAUCAGAAUAUUUUCAUUCUCAAAUAUGAACUCACAAUUGUCACAGCAUGCACAAGAACUAGCCAAGACCAAGCCUAGACAAAAAUCUCAGCUUGGAGCGGGAAGGAGAUCAGGAAGUCCCACUCCUAGCUGAGGAGUUAUUGAUAAUUGGUAUUUGCUAGCAGAGAAGUGCAUCUUUUUUAAGGGUCUGGCUUUUUGAAGGGUGACCAUAUUUCAAUGGAUGGCACAAUGCAAUUGAGCUUCAUGGGCCAUUUUAAAAAAAGUGGGCUAGAGAGACGACUUAAUGAUCACUUGUUGAUCUUCUAGAAGACCUGGGUUUGAUUCCCAGAACCCACCUAGUGGCUUCUAAACAUCCACAACUCCAGAUAUAAGGAAUUCGACACCCUCUUCUGACCUCCAUGGGUAGCGGGCAUGCAUAUGUUAUGCUUAUGUACAUGCUCAUCCACGUACGUACACGUAAAAUAAAUCCAAGCACCCUUGGGUGUUUUGUUUUGUUUUGUUUUGUUUUGUUUUGUUUUGUUUUGUUUUGUUUUGUUUUUGAAGCGGGGGAGGCAUAGAGAUGGGAUGAAUCUGGCAGGAGUUAAGGAGGUGAGUAUGGGGAAAAUAUAAUCAAAAUACAUUGUAGAAAUUCUCAAAUAAUUGAUAAAAAUGCUUUUUAAAAUGUGGUAGGAAACUUUAUUUUAUUCUGCACAUAACUGGGAUUUGAUGCUUUGUGUGUCUGGAUGAUGCUUAAAACAAGUCUAAGUGGAUGAAUAGUUUGAGAUUCUUACAAAAUCAUGUGGAAGGGCCACUCCCCAUUGUGCCCCUUCCUUAACUUUAGAAAAUUUUACAAUCUGCUCAUUGUGUUCCUUGACCCCUUCUCAACUCAACAUUUACCUCUUUGCUCUUAAGUUCCAGCUCAGCUGCUUUUUACACCAGCAACUCAGCUGUCCUACUUAUUUCUUUAUUGUUGUCACUGAUCUGUUGGGCACAAUAUCAGUCGUAUACUCUCAUAAUUAUAUGACAAGACUAGUUCACUUAUUUCUUUUCCCUACCCUUUUCAAACUCCCAACAUUCAUUGUAAUUUGGUAUUUCAUGAGUCCAGAAAACCAUUGGGGUUCCUUGAUAUGAACACAGGACCACAAAACACUGGAAUUUAGGGGACAUGGGGACACCGAGGAAAGCAAAUGCCAGUUAGGUUAAAGGGCUUAUUCAGAGUUGAUGAGCACCAGGUCAGGAAUGAGAAGUUAUAGUUACUGAUUCCAGGUGCCUUUGCUCCACAUGUCUCUUCUCAUUGGCAAAAGCCCAUAGUGGUGACUGAUACCAGACAGAGCUAUGAAGAGAUUGCAUUCCAAGAAUACAAGCAUGUGGUUAAAACCAUAUCCAGGAAGGGCCCUCAACCCCGUCUGUGUACCCCAGGGCUGAUAAAUGUGUCUUUCUUAGAGCAGAGUAUUCAUGUCAAAGCAGAGAGUAAAUACACGUUCCUAAGACUUCAGUCAGCCUACCUCAAACUAUUGAUCCUGCCUUUUCUUUUAUUUACCUCCUAUUGUUCAGUAGAUAUUCUAUGCUCUUAUUAGUUUAUUGUAAGUGUCAGAAACUAGACUAUAAACCCCUGGGGAGUAGAGCCUUUGUCAACAUCAUGGAAGUUGACUCCCAAGUGUCUGAAAUAGUUCGUCAGAAAUAGAAUAGGUACAGACUCCAAGGCAUCAUGCUAUUAAAUCAAUAGUAACAACUUUACAAAGGAUAUAUAAACCACAGAACUGACAGAUUAGAUCUUAACUAAAGCUUCACUGUCUAAUACAGUAACCAUGAGCUACAUGUAGUCAUUAAGUACUUGAGAUGCGGCUAGUGUGAAUAAAAAAUGUGUUUCCCUUGUUUUGAUGUGACAUCAAGUCUUCCAGGCAUGGCAUGUGUCCUGGUUUCAUUCUGUUGCUGUGAUAAAAUACCCUUUAAAAAACAGCUUAGGGGAGAAAACAUUUAUUUUAGCUCAUAACUCCAGGUUACAGUCCAUUACUGUGGGGCAGUUAUAGAAGCAGGAACCUGAGACAAUCGGUCACAUCCCAUCCCAUCAAGAGCAGAGAAAAAUGCAUGUAAGAAUGCUUAAUGAGGGGUUGGGGAUUUAGCUCAGUGGUAGAGCGCUUGCCUAGCAAGCGCAAGGCCCUGGGUUCAGUCCCCAGCUCCGGAAAAAAAAAAAAAAAAAAGAAAGAAUGCUUAAUGACUACCUUUCUCUACUUAAAGAGUUCAGGGCUCCAAACCAGAGAAUAGUUCUGUCCACUUCCAGGCUGGUUCUUACCGUACCAGUUAAAAGGCAAUCAGAACUACCUCGCAACUACGUGCUCACAGAUUAACUUGUUCUAGACAGUCACUCACUGAGACUCUUCCUAGAUGAUGCUAAGUCGUGUCAAGUUGAGAAACCAUCACAGAAGAAUGUUUUUCCUUUCCUUUCCAACCUGAUACAGAUAUGUCCUCUCUUUCCUCCUUCCCUUCUUCCUUCCUUAUUCCCUCCUGACCUGUUUUCCUUCCUUCCAUCCCUCCUUCUCUACCUUCUCUGUUUUCAUGUCUCUUACUGUAUGUUUGGAAUUAAACCUCAGAACCGCACAUGAGCUAGACAAUCUCUCUACCACUGACCCACACUCUCAGUACUCAGUUCUUGGUUUGUAUUUUAGCUAUAGUGUCCCCAAACCAAUUACAUCUCGUGUGACAAUCUGUUGGUGGACUGUCAUGGCUUUUUUUUUUCACAUAUGACAGUUUCUUUUUUCAAGUCUUCUGCAUUCACUCUGCUUCCUGAAGAACUAUUCACAAGAACACUUCCAGACUUUCAGGAAUAACCUGAUGUUUGGUCAUAUGCCAUGGGGCAGCCAGUAGCCAGGAGACCUCUCAGUAAAAAACUCUUCUGAGUCAGGCAUAGUGGCACAUGUCCUUGUAACUCCAGCACUUGGGAGAAUGAAGCAGGACAAUUUAUGUUAGCUUGAGGGUAGCCUGCACUAUGUAGUGAUUUUCAAAGUCAGUCUAGGCUACAUACUACAAAACAAGUCCAUAUGUUGAACAAAACAGUAUAAAACAGACAGAAAGACAGAGACAGAAAGACAGGAAGACAGACAGAGAAACAGAAAUAGAGAGACAGAGAAACAGAGACAAAGAGACAGAGAUAGAGAGACAGAAAAACAGAGAAACAGAAACAAAGAGACAGAGAUAGAGAGACAGAAAGACAGAGAAACAGAAACAAAGAGACAGAGAUAGGGACACAGAAAAAGAGACAGAGAGAAACAGAAACAGAUAGAUAGAGGCACAGAGAGAAACAGAGAAAUAGACACACACACAGAGAUCGAGACAGAGACAGAGAGAAAGAGAGAGACAGAGAGACAGAGAGAGACAGAGAGAGAGUUGAGCCUGAUAUGGCUGUGACUCAAUUCUUUUUUUUUUUUUUGGUUCUUUUUUUCUGGAGCUGGGGACCGAACCCAGGGCCUUGCACUUCCUAGGCAAGCGCUCUACCACUGAGCUAAAUCCCCAACCCCCUGUGACUCAAUUCUUACAGUAAAUACGCCGUGCUCAACAACUAUGAAACACCAACCUUAAAUCUGUGUUCUUUGCUCCCUUCUGCAACACAGGCUGCAGGUAUAAUGUUCUGUAAUAAGUAUAAUGUGUUGUUUAUAAAAAUGCAUGGAAAAUUAUUAGAAUUAUCUUUUCAGUGUUUCUUUAAUAUGACUCCUGUCAGCCCUCAGCUCUUACAAGUAUUUAGAAAUGGCUUGCUCAGCAGUCUUCCAAAGUUUCCUCUGAUAUUCCAGAGACCUCACUUUGGAAGUUCUGAGCAGCCAUAGAGCAGGGAGCUCUCCCCACCCCAGAACAAGACAAAACCAGGAAGUAUUUAUAGAGUCACUUGAUUCAUGGCAGAUGUGAGAAUUCCACUUUUCUUACAAAGAAGACAAGGAGCCUGUUACACGAGAAUAACAAACAAACAGCCAUAGGGUACCGAAUGUCAACUCCAGGCUUAUGAUAAAAGAGCUAUUUGAGUUAGCAGUGAACUCUGCUGGUAGAACGCCUGCCAGACAUUCAGGAAUAACUUGAUGCUUGGUCUGAGUGUCCCUAGCCUAUGGCUCUAUGCCAUGGGGCAGCCAGUGGCCAGGAGACUUGUCAGUGAAAAAUGCUUCCGAGUCAGGCAUAGUGGCACACAUCCUUGUACCUCCUGCACUUAGGAGAAGAUGUGGGUUCAGUUCCCAAUGCUACAUAACCUGGACACCUGUAAGCUCAGAACUCAGAGGGUAGAGACAGGAGAAUCAGAAGUUCAGUCAUUUGUGACUACCAAACAACUUGUCUUAAGUUUGACUUAAAUGUUUCAUAAAAUAGACAUGAAUUCAACUGUAUUUAUUCUUCUUUUGGGUUGCCGGACCACAUGUCACAGAUAUGACAUAGUUUCUGAUUUUCAGAGUUUUUAAAUGCCAAGAAGACAUAGGAUGGCACCUAUUUCAGGAAAUGCAGUUUGCAAUAUGUACCACAUUUAACAUAAUGGGGGGGGAGCAUGGAAUUAGCCUCAGUUUCUUUUAAGGUUUGUAGUAGUAAAUGCCACUGUCUCAGACUGUUUGUCCUGCUAUAAAAAAAAUCACUGAGUUUAAAUUAUUCAUUUAUAAAUUACAUAAAUCUAUUUCACACCAUUUAGGGGACUUGGAGCUCCAAGUUCAAGACACCAGCAGAUCUGGUGACUGCUUCCAAGGUGAUCUUUAUGCUGCAUCCUUGGGAGCAGACAGACAACCUACUCACAUUGUUGUCUCUCGGAAGUAGAGCACUUACUCACAUACAGGAGUCUGUAGGCUCAAUUCCCAUUAUGGAGAGAAAGAAAGGAAAAAGAAAAGAAAGUCUUUCCUAGAACAGCAUUGACUCUGUCAAACUCAUUUUAUCUUUAAUUGAAUGUAUUUAUUGUACUUGUGUAGCUGAGUUGCAAGCCAGGAGUGAGCAAGUCAGUAAGCAGCACUCCUCCUUAGCAGACCAAUAAACAGCACUCCUCCAUAGACUGCUUCAGUUCCAAGUUCCUGCCUUGAAUCUUUGCCCUGACUUCCCUCACUGGCAGGGUGUGACCAGAGUUGAAAAACCCCACCCAGCUGCCGUCCACCUGUACAGCCAGCAUAGAAAAGCUCUCCAAGAACACUCCUCCAUUGUUGGUGGGGUUGCAGACUGGUACAACCAUUCUGGAAAUCAGUCUGGAGGUUCCUCAGAAAAUUGGACAUUGAACUGCCUGAGGAUCCAGCUAUACCUCUCUUGGGCAUAUACCCAAAAGAUGCCCCAACAUAUAAAAAAGACACGUGCUCCACUAUGUUCAUCGCAGCCUUAUUUAUAAUAGCCAGAAGCUGGAAAGAACCCAGAUGCCCUUCAACAGAGGAAUGGAUACAGAAAAUGUGGUACAUCUACACAAUGGAAUAUUACUCAGCUAUCAAAAACAAUGACUUUAUGAAAUUCGUAGGCAAAUGGUUGGAACUGGAAAAUAUCAUCCUGAGUAAGCUAACCCAAUCACAGAAAGACAUACAUGGUAUGCACUCAUUGAUAAGUGGCUAUUAGCCCAAAUGCUUGAAUUACCCUAGAUGCCUAGAACAAAUGAAACUCAAGACGGAUGAUCAAAAUGUGAAUGCUUCACUCCUUUAAAAGGGGAACAAGAAUACCCUUGGCAGGGAAGAGAGAGGCAAAGAUUAAAACAGAGACUGAAGGAACACCCAUUCAGAGCCUGCCCCACAUGUGGCCCAUACAUAUACAGCCACCCAAUUAGACAAGAUGGAUGAAGCAAAGAAGUGCAGACCGACAGGAGCCGGAUGUAGAUCGCUCCUGAGAGACACAGUCAGAAUACAGCAAAUACAGAGGCGAAUGCCAGCAGCAAACCACUGAAAUGAGAAUAGGACCCCCGUUGAAGGAAUCAGAGAAAGAACUGGAAGAGCUUGAAGGGGCUCGAGACCCCAUAUGUACAACAAUGCCAAGCAAGCAGAGCUUCCAGGGACUAAGCCACUACCUAAAAACUAUACAUGGACUGACCCUGGACUCUGACCUCAUAGGUAUCGAUGAAUAUCCUAGUAAGAGCACCAGUGGAAGGGGAAGCCCUGGGUCCUGCUAAGGCUGAACCCCCAGUG